UACAGAGGUGGCAAGCGUUGUUCGGAAUUACUGGGCGUAAAGCGCGUGUAGGCGGUUCGGAAAGUCGGAUGUGAAAGCCCUGGGCUCAACCCAGGAAGUGCACUCGAAACUCCCGAACUCGAGUCCUGGAGAGGAAGGCGGAAUUCUCGGUGUAGAGGUGAAAUUCGUAGAUAUCGAGAGGAACAUCGGUGGCGAAGGCGGCCUUCUGGACAGCGACUGACGCUGAGGUGCGAAAGCGUGGGGAGCAAACAGG
rnacentral:rRNA from 1 species